GAUGAAGAACGCAGCGAAAUGCGAUAAGUAAUGUGAAUUGCAGAAUUCAGUGAAUCAUCAAAUCUUUGAACGCACAUUGCGCCCCUUGGUAUUCCAUGGGGCAUGCCUGUUCGAGCGUCAUUUGUACCUUCAAGCUUUGCUUGGUGUUGGGUGUUUGUCUCGCCUUUGCGUGUAGACUCGCCUUAAAAUAAUUGGCAGCCGGCGUAUUGAUUUCGGAGCGCAGUACAUCUCGCGCUUUGCACUCAUAACGACAGCGUCCAAAAGUACAUUUUACACUCUUGACCUCGGAUCAGGUAGGGAUACCCGCUGAACUUAAGCAUAUCAAUAAGCGGAGGA
rnacentral:misc_RNA from 1 species